rfam:Candidatus Woesebacteria bacterium RBG_16_39_8b RBG_16_scaffold_65749, whole genome shotgun sequence.
CUUUUUGAGGGUUUGAUCCUGGCCCAGGACGAACGCUGGCGGCGUGCUUUAAGCAUGCAAGUAGAACGGUUUUUUGGAGCUUCGGCUCCAAUAGAUAGUUGCGAACGGCUGAGUAACAUGUAGGAAUCUACCCUUUGGUGGGGAAUAGCUCGGGGAAACCCGGAUUAAUACCGCAUAAGAUCGAAAGAUGAAUGGGCAUAACUGCCCGCCGAAGGAGGAGCCUGCAAACCAUCAGCUUGUUGGUAGGGUAAUGGCCUACCAAGGCUACGACGGUUAGGGGACGUGAGAGCGUGACCCCCCAGAACAGGACUGAGACCAAUAAUGAUCUCCUGCAGCAGUAACGCUGCAGUAAAAUUCAGCUAAUAACGGUGGAGCCCGACUUGACAUUCGUUUAAUCUUCGGAUUAAAUGAGUUAAGGGGUAAUACCGUGGGAAGUCAGCUAAGAAAAGCUAAUAAGAACAACGUUGAUGCUUUUGCCAACAAAGGCUUAAGCUAUGCUNNNNNNNNAUAACUAUCAAGUUUGAGAAGUGUAAGACUACUACACUUGGUUUUGUUGCCAAAGUGAGAGUAAGUUUUACCCAACACAAAUCCAAAAGAGAAAUUCUGGAUUUUCUUUGUGAGUACAUCGGUUCGGGAUCGGUACAUGAAUAUCAGCACAAUAAUAUGGCUGAGUAUGUAAUACAUGACCAAAAAUGUAUUACUGAAUUUCUUCGAGAUAUCGAACCUUUUAUUUUCGUCAAACGACGACAUUUACAACUCGCACAAGAAUUAAUUAUUCUUAAAAAGAAAGAGCAUUACACUAAAGAAUCGUUAGUAAAGAUGUUAGAACUUCGCAAGAAGAUGGCGUCCCUAAAUAACUAUUCUAAGAAAUUUCUUAGUUUGACCCCGUAACGACUGAUCCUUAAGUGGAGAGAUACAAAAGCUUUUGCUUUGUAUAAGAUGCUGACUCCUACUAGAGUUGUCUAGAGGAUGAAGAUAUAGUCUACACCAUUAGUAAUAAUGGAUAAUGUGACGGCCUGUACACCUACGGGUGGCAGCAACUGGGAAUUGUGCGCAAUGGGCGAAAGCCUGACGCCGCGACGCCGCGUGUGGGAUGAAAGCCUUCGGGUUGUAAACCACUUUUGCCAAGGAAGAGACGCCUUGGAGAAUAAGCACCGGCUAACUACGUGCCAGCAGCAGCGGUAAUACGUAGGGUGCUAGCGUUGUCCGGAUUUACUGGGCGUAAAGAGUUCGUAGGCGCCCCGUUAAGUCGCGUUUUAAAGACCAGAGCUCAACUUUGGGAGUGGACGCGAUACUAAUGGGGUUGGAAUACUGAGGGGCUAUCGGAACUGUCGGUGUAGGGGUGAAAUCCGUUGAUAUCGACAGGAACGCCAAGGGCGAAGGCAGAUAGCUGGCGGUUUUUCGACGCUGAGGAACGAAAGCUAGGGGAGCAAACCGGAUUAGAGACCCGGGUAGUCCUAGCCGUAAACUAUGCUCGCUAGGGAUGGUUUGGUUUUACCUGACCGUCUCGCAAGUCAACACGUUAAGCGAGCCGCCUGGGGAGUACGAGCGCAAGCUUAAAACUCAAAGGAAUUGGCGGGAACCCGCACAACCAGUGGAGCAUGUGGUUCAAUUCGAGACGAACCGAAGAACCUUACCUGGGCUUGACAUUUUACCCUUUAGGUUCUCAGAGAUGAGGACUGAUCUUGAUAGAAAUAUUAAGAAGGUAGAACAGGUGCUGCAUGGCUAGACCCGAAAGGGUUGAUGGCCCCCAUCUUAGUAAUGAGAUGAGGAAAAACCGGCUCAUAACGGUGGAGCCCGAUUGACUUUCGGAAUAACUUCGGUUAUUUUGAUAGUUGUAGGGUAAUACCGUGGGAAGCUUUAAUCUAAAAACAGCCAGAGAUUAUUAUUGUUUAGGUCUUUGGCUAGCUGAUGGAUAUUGGCGAUCAAGUUCUGUAGGACUUUCUUCGACCAACGAUCAUUUGCAUUCUAUUUUUAUACCUUUUCUUAAAAAGAUGUGUCCAACACAUAUAAUUAAAGAACAUGUGUAUUUUCCUAAUACCGGAGAAAAGAGGAGAUUAAAAGCGAGGCAUGUAUAUGUAAAUUCACGACCGUUUACACGGUAUAUGAUGAAUUUUAAGAAAAUACCUCACUUGAAAAUCUCUAACAAAUUUCUCCCAGCUUAUUUUGCGGGAAGGAUAGAUGGAGAUGGUCAUGUAGAUUCAAUACACCGAUCAGGCGUAAGAAUUGCAUACUCUAAUAAAGAGGAUGCAAUUCGAGAUAUGGAUUUAUUGAAAAAGUUGGAUGAAGAACCUGCAAGUUUAUAUCGCUAUGAACAGGCUAAUACUUGGGUAAUUUAUCUAAGAAAGAAAUUUCUCGAUAAAAUAAAACCAAGUAUGGCAAGAUAUUCAUUGAAGCUAAGUGGAAAGAUUAAUAACCCCGUAGAGACUGAUGUCACCUUUGGUGACUGAGAGCACUAACAAUUAUUAUAAAAAGUGUUCAAACGCCGGAUUCCGUUAAACGGAACAUGGUAUAGUCCAUACCUUAAGUAAUUAGGGAUUAAUAUGAUCGUCAGCUCGUGCUGUGAAGUGUUCCUUUCAGUAGGGUAACGAGCGCAACCCCUGUCGUAUGUUAAAUUGUUCAUACGAGACUAUCUUGAUUUAUUCGAGGAGGAAGUGGGGACGACGUUAAGUCAGCAUGGCCCUUAUGUCCAGGGCUACACACAUGCUACAAUGGCCGCUACAAUGGGUUGCCAAGUGGUAACACGGAGCUAAUCCCAUCAAAAGCGGUCUCAGUAGGGAUUGAGGGCUGCAAUUCGCCCUCAUGAACGUGGAAUUGGUAGUAAUCGCGAAUCAGUCAUGUCGCGGUGAAUACGUUCUCGGGUUUUGCACACACCGCCCUAUAGUAUCUAUGAUUAGAAGCUAAUUGUAGAUAACUUUUAUA